AUUGAACGCUGGCGGCAGGCCUAACACAUGCAAGUCGAGCGGCGCGGCGGACGGGUGCGUAAUGGCUAGGACUCUGCCUCGUCGUGGUGGAUAACGUUCGGAACCGGGCGCUAAUACCGCAAACUAUCCGCUUCGCCUAGGUCGGAUUAGCGAGUUGGUGGGGUAAAGGCCUACCAAGGCGACGAUCCGUAACUGGUCUGAGAGGAUGAUCAGGCACACUGGAACUGAGACACGGUCCAGACUCCUACGGGAGGCAGCAGUGGGGAAUAUUGGACAAUGGGCGAAAGCCUGAUCCAGCCAUGCCGCGUGUAUGAAGAAGGUCUUCGGAUUGUAAAGCACUUUAAGUGGGGAGGCGUUACCCGCAGAAUAAGCACCGGCUAACUACGUGCCAGCAGCCGCGGUAAUAC
rnacentral:rRNA from 1 species